UCCUACGGGGGGCAGCAGUGGGGAAUAUUGCGCAAUGGAGGGAACUCUGACGCAGCAACGCCGCGUGAAGGAUGAAGGCUUUCGGGUUGUAAACUUCUUUGAUCGGGGACGAAGAUGACGGUACCCGAGGAACAAGCCACGGCUAACUACGUGCCAGCAGCCGCGGUAAUACGUAGGUGGCAAGCGUUGUCCGGAAUUACUGGGUGUAAAGGGCGUGUAGGCGGGGCGGCAAGUCAGAUGUGAAAUACCGUGGCUUAACUGCGGGGGUGCAUCUGAAACUGUCGUUCUUGAGUGUCGGAGAGGAAAGUGGAAUUCCCAGUGUAGCGGUGAAAUGCGUAGAGAUUGGGAGGAACACCAGUGGCGAAGGCGGCUUUCUGGACGAUAACUGACGCUGAGGCGCGAAAGCGUGGGUAGCAAACAGGAUUAGAUACCCCAGUAA
rnacentral:rRNA from 1 species